GACGAACGCUGGCGGCGUGCUUAACACAUGCAAGUCGAACGGAAAGUGCCCAGCUUGCUGGGUGACUCGAGUGGCGAACGGGUGAGUAACACGUGGGUGAUCUGCCCUGCACUUUGGGAUAAGCCUGGGAAACUGGGUCUAAUACCGGAUAGGACCUCGGGAUGCAUGUUCUGGGGUGGAAAGCUUUUGCGGUGUGGGAUGGGCCCGCGGCCUAUCAGCUUGUUGGUGGGGUGAUGGCCUACCAAGGCGACGACGGGUAGCCGGCCUGAGAGGGUGUCCGGCCACACUGGGACGGGGAUACGGCCCAGACUUCUACGGGAGGCAGCAGUGGGGAAUAUUGCACAAUGGGCGCAAGCCUGAUGCAGCGACGCCGCGUGAGGGAUGACGGCCUUCGGGUUGUAAACCUCUUUCAAUAGGGACGAAGCGCAAGUGACGGUACCUAUAGAAGAAGCACCGGCCAACCACGUGCCAGCCGCCGCAGUAACAC
rnacentral:rRNA from 1 species